AUUGAACGCUGGCGGCAUGCUUUACACAUGCAAGUCGAACGGCAGCGCGGGGCAACCUGGCGGCGAGUGGCGAACGGGUGAGUAAUACAUCGGAACGUACCCAGAAGUGGGGGAUAACGUAGCGAAAGUUACGCUAAUACCGCAUACGUUCUACGGAAGAAAGUGGGGGACCUUCGGGCCUCAUGCUUUUGGAGCGGCCGAUGUCUGAUUAGCUAGUUGGUGAGGUAAAGGCUCACCAAGGCGACGAUCAGUAGCUGGUCUGAGAGGACGACCAGCCACAACUGGACCGGAGACCCGGCCCGGCUCCUACGGGGAGCAACCGGUGGGAAAUUUUGACCAUGGGGCGAAGGCUGAAUCCACAAAGCCGCCGUGGUGGAAAAAGGCUUCCGGUUUUUAAACUCUUUUGUCAGGGAAGAAACGGCUGAGGAUAAUACCUUCGGCUAAUGACGGUACCUGAAGAAUAAGCACCGGCUAACUACGUG
rnacentral:rRNA from 1 species